CCUCUGCGGAUUGCAAUGGAACAGGAAAUCACUAUGCUGGUCAUCUACAAUGGCUCCAGCAUGUGCAAAGCUGGCUUUGCUGGGGACAACGCCCCUCCUCCAGCAGUGUUUCCCUCCAUCGUUGGGUGUCCCUGCCACCAGGGCGUGAUGGGGGACAUGGGCCAGACAGACUCGUAUGUGGGUGAUGAGGCCCAGAGCAAGUGCAGCAUCCUGACCCUGAAAUACCCCAUCGAACAUGGCAUCGUCACUAACUGGGACAACAUGGAGAAGAUUUGGCACCACAGUUUCUACAAUGAGCUUCAAGUGGCCCCCAAGGAGCAUCCAGAGCUGCUCACAGAGGCCCCUCUGAACCCCAAGGCCAACAGAGAGAAGAUGACCUAGAUCAUGUUUGAGACUUUCAACAUUCUGGCCAUGUACGUGGCCAUCCAGGCCGUGCUGUCCCUGUACACCUCUGGUCGCACCACUGGCAUUGUCAUGGACUCUAGAGAUGGGGUUACCCAUCUAUGAGGGUUAUGCUGUCCCUAACACCACCCUGCCUCUGCACCUGGCUGGCUGGGACCUGACGGACUAGCUCAUGAAGAUCCUCAAGGAGUGGGAGGUUGUGUGAGACAUCAAGGAGAAGCUGUGCUAUGUCGCCCUGGACUUCGAGCAGGAGAUGGCCACUGCCGCAUCCUUUUCCUCCUUGGAGAAGCGCUAUGAGCUGCCCGACAGCCAGGUAAUCGCCAUUGGCAACAAGCGGUUCCGGUGUCCAGAUGCACUCUUCCAGCCGUCCUUCCUGGGUAUGGAGUCCUGUGGCAUCCAUGAGACAACCUUCAACUCCGUCAUGAAGUGUGAUGUGGACAUCCACAAGGACUUGUAUGCUAACAUAGUGCUGUCUGGUGGCACCACCAUGUCCCUGGGCCUCACCAACAGGAUGCAGAAGGAGAUCACCACCCUGGCGCCCAGUGGCAUGAAGGUCAAGAUCACCAUCGCUCCCCUUGAGCACAAGUGCAGCUCCAUCCUGGCCUCGCUGUCCACCUUCCAGAUGUGGAUCAGUAAGCAGGAGUAUGACGAGUCCGGGUCCUCCAUCAUCCACCACAAAUGCUUCUAAAUGGACUACAAGCAGAUGUAUCUCGUAACAGCACUGGAUUGUAGAACUUGUCACUGAUUUUGACCUUUUAUUCAAGUUUACUGUUCCCUUGAUUAUUUAAUAUCCUGCACAUGUCUUUGAUUUGAACCCUUAAGACCUGUGGCUCAGUCACCUUGUGACUGAGGUGACAUAACAUGCUCGGAAGAGAAAUAUGUGACCUGGUGAAUCUAUGUGCCCAUCAGUCUUGGUCUGUGCAGGGUAUUAGUGCGUCAGAGCUUCCCCGUGAAGACCGAACUCUGAUCUUUUCUUUUGCCCAAAAUUCCUUCCUAAGGGGGCCUGAUGAGUCACGCUGACAAAUGGUAAAAUCUCACUAGGCAGGUUUUGUUAACCAAAUAUACUGUGAUUUGCUUCCCAACCUGAUUCUGGUAUAGCAUUAGCAUCACCUGAAAGGUAGAAAGCUCCGCCCCCAUCCUAACUCAAGCAUCCUGGCAGAUCCUUUUGAAAGAGCCUCCUGUCUGGACCUCCCAGAGUGCUCACACCUUUAUCUUAAAUUAAGCAUUUCCUUUCUGGUCUUUUAGAUAAAGCCGAACUCUCUCAGCCAAUUGUCAGCCAAAGAAUCUUUAAACCCACCUAUAACCUGUAAGCCCCACCCCUUUGAGACAUCCCACCUUUUGGGGC